GAACCUUACCAAGGCUUGACAUAACCGAGAACGCGGCUAGAGAUAGGCGGAACUCUUUGGACACUCGGUUACAGGUGGUGCAUGGUUGUCGUCAGCUCGUGUCGUGAGAUGUUGGGUUAAGUCCCGGCAACGAGCGGCAACCCUCGUCGUAUGUUGCCAGCACGUAAUGGUGGGAACUCAUAUGAGGACUGCCGGGGUCAACUCGGAGGAAGGUGGGGAUGACGUCAAAUCAUCAUGCCCCUUAUGUGCUUGGGCUUCACGCAUGCGUACAAUGGCCGGUACAAAGGGCUGCGAUGUCGUAAGGCGGAGCGAAUCCCAAAAAGCCGGUCUCAGUUCGGAUUGAGGUCUGCAACUCGACCUCAUGAAGUCGGAGUCGCUAGUAAUCGCGAGAUCAGCAACGCUGCGGUGAAUACGUUCCCGGGCCUUGUACACACCGCCCGUCAAGUCAUGAAAGUCGGUAACACCCGAAGCCGGUGGCCUAAGCCCCUUGUGGGAGGGAGCCGUCGAAGGUGGGAUCGGUGAUUAGGAGUAAGUCGUAACAAGGUAGCCG
rnacentral:rRNA from 1 species